ensembl:ncRNA Y66A7AL.9 ncRNA
GCGGGGCGGACUUGAACUCGCGAACUUCAGCGCGCCAGUGCGCCACCCGUAAAAGUAGCUUGAAAACUUUGCGCGUCAAAUUCGGUGUAUCGGGCUCAGCAACACAGACAGCUUGACGGGAAAAUUUCGAGGCGCUGCGCAAGCCGGGCGGCCUUGAAUCCGGGAAAAAAACACGAA